CCUACGGGAGGCAGCAGUGGGGAAUAUUGGGCAAUGGACUCAAGUCUUACCCAGCAACGCCGCGUGAAGGAAGAAGGCUUUCGGGUUGUAAACUUCUUUUAAGGUGGAAGAGCAGAAGACGGUACCCCUUGAAUAAGCCACGGCUAACUACGUGCCAGCAGCCGCGGUAAUACGUAGGUGGCAAGCGUUGUCCGGAUUUACGGGGUGUAAGGGGCGUGCAGCCGGGGAGACAAGUCAGUUGUGAAAUCCACGGGCUCAACCCGUGAACUGCAUUUGAAACUGUUUCCCUUGAGUUUCGGAGAGGUAAUCGGAAUUCCUUGUGUAGCGGUGAAAUGCGUAGAUAUAAGGAAGAACACCAGUGGCGAAGGCGGAUUACUGGACGAUAACUGACGGUGAGGCGCGAAAGCGUGGGGAGCAAACAGGAUUAGAUACCCUGGUAGUC
rnacentral:rRNA from 1 species